UUUAUUCUUCGUUAUUUCCUUUAUCAUUAAUUAUGUUUACCUUCUGCUCUGUGUUUAUGUUCUGUAAAGCUGCUUUGAGACAAUGUCUAUUGUAAAAUACACUGUACAAAUAAACUUGUAUUGAAUUGAGUUUAAUUGAAUUGAUACGGCGGAGUUUACUUGAUGGUAACGUAUUUUUUCAGGACAUCCAAUUUCCUGUUCUACAUUUUGAGGUAAAUUCAACAGCAAACGAGAUUCAUUCACUACAAGCUACAACAUAAUAUAUGUUUUUAUUCAGGAUUAAAGUUAAAUUCCUGUUCUCCUGUACAGCCUGAAACAAGCGGGAAUGUCUGAGGUCAGCUCAGGAUAAAUAAGUUGAUGGAGUAAGCAGUGUUCCCUGGUGUGGCAGUUUCUCUGGUGUACAGACUUCCUUGGGGAGGAGACACCAGCAAUUCUGAUGACACAAACGGUGUGAGAGCUGUGAAGAAAACCCCAGAAACAACAGCAGGUGACAUCAACAACAGCCUCCACAGAUCAGAGUGAAGGUCUCACAAUCCAUCACUGGAUUAAGACACAGAGAAAUAUUGAGCAGAAGAUACAAACUUCUCCUGAGUAAGACCAGAUGGGAAUUGUACAGAGAUGAGAAGGUUAGGUAACCAAGAUGAACCAAAGUGCUGAAAGGUCAAAGUGUGGAGAAAGUAAGGAUCUGUUCAUGAUCCAGAACAUAUGAUCUCAUCAAUAGAACAUAGUUAUGGUGGUGUCAUGGCUUGGGCUUCAUGGCUGCUUCUGGAACUUUCUCACUAAUCUUCACUGAUGAUGGAGAUCAUGGUGGUAGCCACAGAAUGAAUGCAGAAGUUUACAGAAACAUUCUGAUCAUUUACAGAGAAAUGCAACUAAUCUAAUCAGGAGGAUCUUCAAUAUGCAGCAAGACAACGAUCUGAAUCACUCUGCAACUAAACCCAGGAUCAGUGGAAAGAAGGUGGUUUUGUACAGAACAAGUUAAUUAGCAGAACUGAACCUUAAACUGUGGAUCAUUUCACCUCCGUAAAAGGGGACGACUACAAUAACUUAAAAAGGGACGUGGACAAAAGCAUGGAAAAGCUUCACGGGAGAAGAAAGCUGCAGUUUGUUGAUGCAAUUAAAGGAUUUACAACCAAA